AGGAAAAUAAACCGAUUCGAAAGAGAAUACUUCUACUUACACGAGAUAAUUCACACAAAACGCUGCGUAUCGUCCCAAGUAUGGUAGAUGUAGAAACGAUCGUGAAAAUAGAAGAGAAAAAGUACAAAAGAUGGCGCGCGUACCGGAGAAAAAGAAAAAGCAGGAAGAGAAGAAGAAAGAAGAGAGAGUAUUUUUCGGAUGGGAUUUAUCUUCCCCCGAUUGUCCGUGAAUUCGAACGACUAAAUCACGCGAAUUUCAUUUCUGUCCGACUCGAGGACAUUACCGUUCGUUUCUACGGUUCUGUGAGCGAGGAACGAUCCCCGGUCCCUUCGUCUCCGGUCAUCGCCGCUGAUAUCGGCCGUUUUUCUUCUCGGCAAACUGCCUUCUCUUCGUUCCGGAGGGACGGUGGCGCAAACCUGGCGGACACCCUUAAUUGCCUUUCCCCGAAAAGCUGCUGGUGCUUCCACCGAAAGCUAAAAAAUUCUUCCCACGCGAUCUCUUAAAGCACUGCGAGAAAAUCCCUUUCCUUUCUCUUAGGAGAACUUAUAUUCCCCUGUACCGUUGACACCCUCGGCUCUCGAGUUCUAUUAAAGUAUACGAUCUUGCUACUCGUGUGUCGAAAUAAAAAGGCAAAGUCAUUUUUUCUUACUUUCAAUCGGCCCCAAAUUAAUGGACUAUUUUUACGGCGCUCGAUAACGUCGUAACCGUCGUUUUUCUUCGUAAAUUACAAACGCGAGUAUGUAGGACGACCUUUUCGUCUUAUUCUUACUUAAAAAUUUCUUCGAUACGAAAUGAAACGUUAAUUAGUUCCAAUACGCUUGGGCUUUAGUAAAAAAAUUCUCGGAGAGUUUCUUUUGAAACAGCAGCUCUUUCUCUCUCUCUCGCUCUCGCUCCCUCUUUAUCGAAAAAAGAGUCUGCUCGCUUACGUCGUACGCUCCGUAUCAGAAAAUCUUGGUAAUGCGAUUCCUAACGAAGUCGAUUCAAAGCGAUGGCGUACGUUGUAGGACGUGCGAUUGACAGGAAAUUAGUUCUCGACUAUCAUCGUCAAAUUACGGAAAUCAAUCCGCAUCGCUUGUCAUCGUACGUUCGAUACUACGCAAACGAGAAUUGGAAAUGAUGAUAGAACAUAGACGCGCACGACACACGGAUUUCAAACGACAAAGUUCCCACAGCGAAGCGAGUCCUGCAAGUAUCGAAUUCUCGAAUCGUCUGUCGUGACUUCCCAACUCGGCGUUCGAUCGACUUGUGUCGAAAGGAUGACAAACUCUACGUAUAUACGUCGGAGGAAAGGUAAACUCGCUAGAGGGAAUAACGAUAUAUCUAUGUACGAAAUAAAGGAAAACAUAAAUAAAGCGUUGCGAUUAUCGUUAUCGUUGUUUCUUCGAAACUUACGUAAAUAAAGAAAGAAACUAACGUAGAAGAAGGACGGGGAAAGAAAAGGACGGAAAAAUCGUGGAGAAACGAGAUCCGGCUUCGUUCUUGGAUAGCGCUGACGAUCGAACGAGGAAAGUGGAACACGCAUAAUGCAUGCCUGUGUAACUUGAUCCUUCUCUAUAGAUAUAAGUCGAUCACGGAGGAUAGCCCCUCGUACACACACCGUCUCGGAGGACGCACACGUAUGAUCCACACGGGCGCGCGCGAGGGAACACGCAAAAUAUACUUUUAAGCGGCCACACGCAUAUUGUACAAGUGAAAGAACGUUGUACCAGGCUCGCGGAUCGAAGUCGGUAAACCUUCCGAUUAAAGUAACAUACAUACAUAUACGACGACGCCUAUGGAUAUCUUUCUGUCUGUCUCUAUUUCUGUGUGAAAAUGCGUGUAUGUUUGUGUACGGUUAACGAGCGUGUUCGAACACGGAACACGGCCGUUCCUCUUCGUUACCCUUAAUCUCCCUCGUUCUUUAACCAACUGUCUUCCUCUCUCUAACCCAAGAGUCCAAGUCGAUUGAUCUUUCUCGACGUCUAGUGCCUUCGAUCGCGAGUCAGGAAGCAAGUGACAACCAAGGAAGGAAGGAAGGAAGGAAGAAACGAAGCAAGGAGCAAGAAAACAAAAUAGAUGAAAAAAUGAAAACAAAGUAGGAAGAAUCUCUCUUCCGCGACGCCUACUCGGACUUUUCUCCUUAUCGCUUCUUUAUUUUCUCUCUCGCUUUCUCUUUCUCCCUUUAGAAAUGGUAGAAUCUAGAAAUACAAGUAGUAACUCGGGAAAGUAGGAAAAAAUGUGCGACAAGCUUUUUUCCUCCUAUUUUCUAGAGCUAUGGUAUUUAUUGUUAGUUGAACAUCGAGCCACUACGUAACCACUACCAUCGCCGGCGUUAACGGGGAGCAGCAAGAUGAAGUGGAAAAGAAAGAAAAAAAAGAAAGAGAAAAAAGAAAAAAAAAGAAAAGAAAAGAAAAAAGGAAAAGACAGGAAAAAAAACGAAUGUUCCACGUCGUCACGCUUCGAUCGUCCGUGACGUCCUUCCCGUUAUGUCCCUCGGCAAACUCUGGUAAACCCUGUCGGCCCAUUUCACGGUUCUUUGCUCGCGAGAUUCACGGUGAUUAGGGUGCGAACGCGCGGUCAAAUGUAAAAAAAACGAGAUGUUGCCUCGUCGUUGAAAAGACGUUCGAAAAGUGACGUAGAAUGAAGAAAGAACAAAGAGAGAUCCGAGAUUUUCGCCCUUACGAUUGUUUCACGACUGGAGAAGAAAUAAUUGAAAUCGUUGAAUGAAAAAUUGCAAUUUUAUCCGACGAAAACGUCGCACGAUUCGUACGAGAAAAAUCAAAAAGUAAUACUAUUCUUCCUAGAUAGUACUAGUCUAUUAAAAAACGAGAGAAAGAGAGAGGGGGGAGGGAGAGAAAGA